rnacentral:lncRNA from 1 species
GACAAAGAACAGUUGGAUCAAAUCAAAUAAAUUUCUAGGUACUUACGUAGAAGCUUAAAAGUAAUAUGAGUGUUUAAUUCAUGCAAUGACACUUGGACAGUGAACAUAGCUUGCAACGCAUAACACACCACAAAUUUGACUUGUUAUCCGCCUCCUAUAAGAGAGUAAAUGAGAAAUAUGCAUUGAAUAUUUGGGAAGAGAGAGCCGUAUUCCUUUUUUCUUUGUGCAUUAGUACAUUUUUCUAUACAUAAUGGUCUCUAGUUCUCGCAAUCAAGCAAAAGUGAGAAAAUAACACAAUGGAAGAAGCAGAUAGGCU